CUCAUCAAUCCCACGUUCUCCAAACCUCACAAAAUUCCCUUUCUUUUCACCCGAGUACUUCCUCUAGCAAACCCUCCGCCCCAAACCCUUAUCCCCCUCAAACCCCACUUUUUCUCUCCAAAUUCUUCAAAAAAAAAAAAAAAACUCCAUUCAUUUUUCCAGAAAACCUAUUGAUAAACUCGAAGAACAGAUAGAGAGAGAGAAAAAGACAGUAUCUUUAAUCUAAAAUAGAUGGAUUCAGAUCAAGGAAAACUGUUUGUGGGUGGGAUUUCAUGGGAAACAACUGAAGAAACACUGAAAGAUUAUUUUGGACAAUUUGGUGAUGUUUAUCAGGCUAAUAUCAUGAGAGAUAAAGCUACUGGUAGACCUAGAGGUUUUGGGUUUGUUCUCUUCUCAGAUCCUUCUGUUAUUGAUCGAGUUGUUCAGGAUAAACACACCAUUGAUGGUAGACCUGUUGAGGCUAAGCGAGCGAUGUCAAGAGAAGAACAACAGAACUCUGGUAGAGGUGGAAACAGCAAUGGUGGUAGAAAUGGAGGUGGAGGUGGAAACAUCAGAACUAAGAAGAUAUUUGUUGGGGGUUUGCCGCCUACUUUGACUGAUGAAGGCUUUCGGCAGUAUUUUGAGAAUUAUGGCCCUGUAACUGAUGUAGUUAUAAUGUAUGAUCUGAAUACACGGAGACCCCGAGGUUUUGGAUUCAUUUCUUUUGAGAGUGAGGAGUCAGUAGAUAGAGUUGUACAGAAUACCUUUCAUGACUUAGAUGGUAAACAAGUUGAGGUGAAGCGUGCUCUACCCAAGGAUGCCAACCCUGGUAUGGGUAGUCGUGGCGGUGGUUAUAAUUCUGGUGGUGGUCAAAAUGCUUAUGAUGGUAGAAUGGAUUCUAAUAGAUUUAUGCAAUCACAGAGUGCCGGAGGCGCAUUUCCACCUUAUGGUUCUUCUGGAUAUGGUGCGGCUGGAUACGGAUAUGGGCCUGCCAACACUGGCAUGGGCUAUGGUGGGUAUGGUGGAUAUGGGGGUGCAAAUCCUGGGUACGGUGGUCCUGCAAGUGCUGCUUAUGGGAACCCCAAUGUUGCCAAUGCUGCAAGGAGUUCAUGGAAUGCACAGGCAGCUUCUGCUUAUGGUGCCGCAGCUGGCUAUGGGAGUGCAGGCUCUUGGGGUGCUGCCGCUGCAGGAAGUGGUGGACCAACUGGUCAAUCUCCAAGUGGAGCCUCUGGAUACGGAAAUCAAGGUUAUGGAUAUGGUAACUAUGGAGGUGGUGAUGGGUAUGGUAAUCGUGCUGGAGGAGCCCCGGGUAGCAAUGCCUCAGCUGGUGGUGGAGAAAUGCAAGGGGGUUAUGGUAGCGGAUAUGCUGAUACCAACGGUCAGGGAGGCUAUGGGGCUCAGGCAGGUGGACCUCAUGCUGCACAGAUGGGCUAUGCCGGUGGAUAUGGUGGGGGCCAAAAUCGACAAGCACAGUAGCUGUAGUGUGCUUUAAGCUGAGUGAUCAUGGAUUAUAAAGUUUGUCAUUCCAAGUGGCUAGGGGAUAGCCUAUAUUUCCCUCAAGCAUAUUGUUGGACUGGUUGGCUUGCUAAUUCACAGAGAGGUGCUCGAGCUCUGAAGUGAGGGGGCUAAGACAGCUAAAAUGCAGGUUUGUGGUGGAAUGUUAAACAUGCGAUUGAUCGGUUUUGUGAUGAGAGAAUGCAAUUUCUGGGACUGAUCAACCCAAGCAUGUCCUCUUCGGUUCUGAUCUUCUAUGAAGUUGUGGUGGGCUGGUGGAAAUUUCUAAGUUGAUCUCCAUUCGGUAUGUCAGAGAUAAAUUGAGGAUUUUUUCUUGGUUAACUUUAGGAAAUUUGACUAUCGAAGUUCAGUUUUAUAUGGACUAGAAAGUGGAAUGCUUUUGAUGGUCUAAUUAGUUGUGGCUGCUUGUGGCAGUUGGAAGUAGGCUUUAACUUUUUCUUGCUGAACUAGUGCAUAACUAGUCCGAUACUUACGUUAGAGUUUACUAUUUCUUAGUCUCUUGCGGAUGAUUACUGAGUUAGUACAUUAUAUUUCACUGGAUUAUUACACAUACAUUUAUCACAAUUUCACCGUCUUUAUUUCAAA